rnacentral:rRNA from 1 species
GUGCUAGCUUGGCUCCCGGAUGUGAGCGGCGGACGGGUGAGUAUCACGUGGGUAACCUGCCUGUAAGACUGGGAUAACUCCGGGAAACCGGAGCUAAUACCGGAUAGUUCCUUGAACCGCAUGGAUCAAGGAUGAAAGACGUAUUCGGCUGUCACUUACAGAUGGACCCGCGGCGCAUUAGCUAGUUGGUGGGGUAAUGGCUCACCAAGGCGACGAUGCGUAGCCGACCUGACAGGGUGAUCGGCCACACUGGGACUGAGACACGGCCCAGACUCCUACGGGAGGCAGCAGUAGGGAAUCUUCCGCAAUGGACGAAAGUCUGACGGAGCAACGCCGCGUGAGUGAUGAAGGUUUUCGGAUCGUAAAGCUCUGUUGUUAGGGAAGAACAAGUGCGAGAGUAACUGCUCGCACCUUGACGGUACCUAACCAGAAAGCCACGGCUAACUACGUGCCAACAGCCGCGGUAAUACGUAGGUGGCAAGCGUUGUCCGGAAAUUAAUCGGGGCGUACAAGGGCCUCGCAACGGUCGAGUUUCUUUAAGUACUGAUGUGCAAAGCCCCCCGGCUUCAACCGGGCGAGGGGUCAUUGGAAACUGGGAAACCUGAGUGCAGAAGACGGAGAGUGGCAAUUCCACGCGUAGCGGUGAAAUGCGUACAGAUGUGGAGGCAACACCCAGUGGCGCGAAGGCGCACUCUCUGCUCUGGAACUCACGCUGAGGAACGAAAGCGUGGGGAGCGAACAGGAUUACAUACCCUGAUAGGACACGCCGUAAACGAUGAGUGCUAACUGUCUACGGGGGUUUACGCCACUUCAGUGCUGCAGAUAAGCGCAUUGAAGCACUGCCCGCCUAGGGGGUAGUACGGGUCGACAAGGACUGAAAGCUGCAUAAGGCAAUAGACGGGGGACCGACGACAAGCUGGAGGUCAGACAUGCGAGCGCUUUAAAUUACCGAAUGCAACGCGAAGAACCUUACCAGGUCUUGACAUCCUCUGACAACCCUAGAGAUAGGGCUUUCCCUUCGGGGACAGAGUGACAGGUGGUGCAUGGUUGUCGUCAGAUCGUGUCGUGAGAUGUUGGGGUAAGUCCCGCAACGAGCGCAACCCCUGAUCCUAGUUGCCAGCAUUCAGUUGGGCCCUUUAAGGUGACUGCCGGUGACAAACCGGAGGAAGGUGGGGAUGACGUCAAAUCAUCAUGCCCCUUAUGACCUGGGCUACACACGUGCUACAAUGGACAGAACAAAGGGCUGCAAGACCGCAAGGUUUAGCCAAUCCCAUAAAUCUGUUUUCAGUUCGGAUCGCAGUUUGCAACUCGACUGCGUGAAACUGGAAUCGCUAGUAAUCGCGGAUCAGCAUUCCGCGGUGAAUACGUUCCCGGGCCUUGUACACCCCCCCCGUCACCCCCCGAGAGUUUGCUAACACCCCGAAGUUCAGGUGAAGGUAACCCAUUUA